rnacentral:rRNA from 1 species
CAGUCGCCGCGGUAAUACGUAGGGUGCAAGCGUUAAUCGGAAUUACUGGGCGUAAAGCGUGCGCAGGCGGUUUGUUAAGACAGAUGUGAAAUCCCCGGGCUUAACCUGGGAACUGCAUUUGUGACUGGCAAGCUAGAGUCUGGCAGAGGGGGGUGGAAUUCCGCGUGUAGCAGUGAAAUGCGUAGAUAUGCGGAGGAACACCGAUGGCGAAGGCAGCCCCCUGGGCCAACACUGACGCUCAUGCACGAAAGCGUAGGGAGCAAACAGGAUUAGAUACCCGAGUAGUCCCUGUCUCUUAUAC